CCUAGGGGUGGCAGCAGUGGGGAAUAUUGGACAAUGGGCGAAAGCCUGAUCCAGCCAUGCCGCGUGUGUGAAGAAGGCCUUCGGGUUGUAAAGCACUUUCAGUGGGGAAGAAAGCCUUGGGGCUAAUACCCUCGAGGAAGGACAUCACCCACAGAAGAAGCACCGGCUAACUCCGUGCCAGCAGCCGCGGUAAUACGGAGGGUGCGAGCGUUAAUCGGAAUUACUGGGCGUAAAGCGCGCGUAGGCGGUCUGAUAAGCCGGUUGUGAAAGCCCCGGGCUCAACCUGGGAACGGCAUCCGGAACUGUCAGGCUAGAGUGCAGGAGAGGAAGGUAGAAUUCCCGGUGUAGCGGUGAAAUGCGUAGAGAUCGGGAGGAAUACCAGUGGCGAAGGCGGUCUUCUGGACUGACACUGACGCUGAGGUGCGAAAGCGUGGGUAGCAAACAGGAUUAGAUGCCCUUGUAGUC
rnacentral:rRNA from 1 species